rnacentral:rRNA from 1 species
CCUACGGGAGGCAGCAGUGGGGAAUAUUGCACAAUGGGGGAAACCCUGAUGCAGCGACGCCGCGUGAGUGAAGAAGUAUUUCGGUAUGUAAAGCUCUAUCAGCAGGGAAGAAAAUGAUGGUUACAUAUCAAGAAGCCCCCGCUAACUACGUGCCAGCAGCCGCGGUAAUACGUAGGGGGCAAGCGUUAUCCGGCUUUACUGGGUGUAAAGGGGGCGUAGACGGCAGCACAAGUCUGGAGUGAAAGGCCGGGGCUUAACCCCGGAACUGCUGUGGAAACAGUGCAGCUAGAGUGCAGGAGAGGUAAGUGGAAUUCCUAGUGUAGCGGUGAAAUGCGUAGAUAUUAGGAGGAACACCAGUGGCGAAGGCGGCUUACUGGACUGUAACUGACGUUGAGGCUCGAAAGCGUGGGGAGCAAACAGGAUUAGAUACCCCAGUAGUC